UGCAUGACUCUCGACAACAGAUAUCUUGGCUCUUGCAUCGAUGAAGAACGUAGCAAAAUGCGAUACUUGGUGUGAAUUGCAAAAUCCCGUAAACCAUCGAGUCUUUGAAUGCAAGUUGCGCCCGAGGCUAUCUGGCCAAGGGCACGCCUGCCUGGGCGUCAYG
rnacentral:rRNA from 1 species